ACGGAGGAUGCGAGCGUUAUCCGGAUUUAUUGGGUUUAAAGGGUGCGUAGGUGGACUGAUAAGUCAGCUGUGAAAGUUUGCGGCUCAACCGUAAAAUUGCAGUUGAUACUGUUAGUCUUGAGUAUGUUUGAGGUGGGCGGAAUUCGUAGUGUAGCGGUGAAAUGCUUAGAUAUUACGAAGAACUCCAAUUGCGUAGGCAGCUCACUAAACCAUAACUGACACUGAGGCACGAAAGUGUGGGUAUCAAACAG
rnacentral:rRNA from 1 species